rnacentral:rRNA from 1 species
AACGAACGCUGGCGGCAGGCCUAACACAUGCAAGUUGAACGUGAAGCAUUCUUCGGAAUGUGGAAAGUAGCGCACGGGUGAGUAACACGUGGGGAUAUACACUUCGGUACGGAACAACAGUUGGAAACGACUGCUAAUACCGUAUAAUGACUCCGGUCCAAAGAUUUAUCGCCGAGGGAUUAGCCCGCGUCUGAUUAGCUUGUUGGUGAGGUAAUGGCUCACCAAGGCAACGAUCAGUAGCUGGUUUGAGAGGAUGAUCAGCCACACUGGGACUGAGACACGGCCCAGACUCCUACGGGAGGCAGCAGUGAGGAAUAUUGGACAAUGGGCGAAAGCCUGAUCCAGCCAUGCCGCGUGAGUGAAGAAGGCCCUAGGGUUGUAAAGCUCUUUCAAUUGUGAAGAUAAUGACGGUAGCAAUAGAAGAAGCUCCGGCUAACUCCGUGCCAGCCGCCGCGGUAAG